GCCAGGGUAGCGUAGUGGUUAGCGCAUAUGCCUAGUAAGCAGGAGACCUGGAUUCGAAUACCAGCUUUGGUA